rnacentral:rRNA from 1 species
CAGCCGUAAACUAUGCGCGUUAGGUGUAUCGGUGACCACGAGUCACCGAGGUGCCGAAGGGAAACCGUGAAACGUGCCGCCUGGGAAGUACGGUCGCAAGGCUGAAACUUAAAGGAAUUGGGCGGGGGAGCACCACAACAGGUGGAGCCUGCGGUUUAAUUGGACUCAACGCCGGGAAGCUCACCGGAUAGGACAGCAGAAUGAUUGCCGGGCUGAAGACCCUGCAUGACUAGCUGAGAGGAGGUGCAUGGCGUAGACGUCU